GAUGAACGCUGGCGGCGUGCCUAAUACAUGCAAGUCGAGCGAACAGACGAGGAGCUUGCUCCUCUGACGUUAGCGGCGGACGGGUGAGUAACACGUGGAUAACCUACCUAUAAGACUGGGAUAACUUCGGGAAACCGGAGCUAAUACCGGAUAAUAUAUUGAACCGCAUGGUUCAAUAGUGAAAGACGGUUUUGCUGUCACUUAUAGAUGGAUCCGCGCCGCAUUAGCUAGUUGGUAAGGUAACGGCUUACCAAGGCAACGAUGCGUAGCCGACCUGAGAGGGUGGACGGCCACACUGGAACUGGGACACGGUCCAGACUCCUACGGGAGGCAGCAGUAGGGAAUCUUCCGCAAUGGGCGAAAGCCUGACGGAGCAACGCCGCGUGAGUGAUGAAGGUCUUCGGAUCGUAAAACUCUGUUAUUAGGGAAGAACAAAUGUGUAAGUAACUAUGCACGUCUUGACGGUACCUAAUCAGAAAGCCACGGCUAACUACGUG
rnacentral:rRNA from 1 species